GCGUCUAUAGUGUAAGGUUAGCAUUUAUCUCUCCAAAAGAUAAGGUUGAGGUUCAAUUCCUUGUGGACGCG
rnacentral:tRNA from 1 species